GCUGGGUGUGUUGGCACGCACCUGUAGUCCCAGCUACUUGGGAGGCUGAAGUAGGAGGAUCAGUCGAGCCCAGGAGGUUGAGAUUGCAGUGAGUUGUGAUCACACCACUGCACUCCAGCCUGGGUGACAGAGUGAGACCCCUCUUUCA
rnacentral:SRP_RNA from 1 species